rnacentral:rRNA from 1 species
GACGAGCGCUGGCGGCGUGCCUAAUACAUGCAAGUCGAACGAGAGCGACCGGUGCUUGCACUGGUCAAUCUAGUGGCGAACGGGUGAGUAACACGUGGGUAACCUGCCCAUCAGAGGGGGAUAACAUUCGGAAACGGAUGCUAAAACCGCAUAGGUUCUUAAGUCGCAUGACUCGAGAAGGAAAAGAGGCUUCGGCUUCUGCUGAUGGAUGGACCCGCGGUGCAUUAGCUAGUUGGUGAGGUAACGGCUCACCAAGGCCGUGAUGCAUAGCCGACCUGAGAGGGUGAUCGGCCACAUUGGGACUGAGACACGGCCCAAACUCCUACGGGAGGCAGCAGUAGGGAAUCUUCCGCAAUGGACGCAAGUCUGACGGAGCAACGCCGCGUGAGUGAAGAAGGAUUUCGGUUCGUAAAACUCUGUUGUUAGAGAAGAACAGCGCAUAGAGUAACUGUUAUGCGUGUGACGGAUCUAACCAGAAAGC